AGGAUUCCCCUAGUAACUGCGAGUGAAGCGGGAAAAGCUCAAAUUUAAAAUCUGGCAGCUUUGGCUGUCCGAGUUGUAAUCUGGAGAAGCGUCUUCCGCGCUGGACCGUGUACAAGUCUCCUGGAACGGAGCGUCAUAGAGGGUGAGAAUCCCGUCUUUGACACGGACUACCAGUGCUUUGUGAUGCGCUCUCAAAGAGUCGAGUUGUUUGGGAAUGCAGCUCAAAAUGGGUGGUAAACUCCAUCUAAAGCUAAAUAUUGGCGAGAGACCGAUAGCGAACAAGUACCGUGAGGGAAAGAUGAAAAGCACUUUGGAAAGAGAGUUAAACAGUACGUGAAAUUGCUGAAAGGGAAACGCUUGAAGUCAGUCGCGUUUGCUAGGACUCAGCCUUGCCUCGGCUUGGUGCACUUCCUAGUAGACGGGCCAGCAUCACUUUUGGCUGCGGGAGAAAGAUCAGAGGAAUGUGGCACCUUCGGGUGUGUUAUAGCCUCUGGUUGUAUGCCGUGGCUGGGAGUGAGGAUCUCAGCACGCCUUAUGGCGGGGCUUCGGCCACCUUCGUGCUUAGGAUGCUGGCGUAAUGGCUUUAAACGACCCGUCUUGAAACACGGACCAAGGAGUCUAACAUGCCUGCGAGUGUUUGGGUGGAAAACCCGAGCGCGUAAUGAAAGUGAAAGUUGGGAUCUCUGUCGUGGAGAGCACCGACGCCCGGACCAGACCUUCUGUGACGGAUCCGCGGUAGAGCAUGUAUGUUGGGACCCGAAAGAUGGUGAACUAUGCCUGAAUAGGGUGAAGCCAGAGGAAACUCUGGUGGAGGCUCGUAGCGAUUCUGACGUGCAAAUCGAUCGUCAAAUUUGGGUAUAGGGGCGAAAGACUAAUCGAA
rnacentral:rRNA from 1 species